UACGAAGGGUGCAAGCGUUACUCGGAAUUACUGGGCGUAAAGCGUGCGUAGGUGGUUUGUUAAGUCUGAUGUGAAAGCCCUGGGCUCAACCUGGGAACUGCAUUGGAUACUGGCUGACUAGAGUGCGGUAGAGGGUAGCGGAAUUCCCGGUGUAGCAGUGAAAUGCGUAGAUAUCGGGAGGAACAUCCGUGGCGAAGGCGGCUACCUGGACCAGCACUGACACUGAGGCACGAAAGCGUGGGGAGCAAACAGG
rnacentral:rRNA from 1 species